rnacentral:lncRNA from 1 species
GGGCCACACUAGUGGCAUGUGAAGGUUCCCAGGCUAGGGGUCUAAUCGGAGCUACAGCUGCUGGACUGCACCACAGCCACAGCAACGCAGGAUCCGAGCCACGUCUGCAACCUAUGCCACAGCUCACGGCAAUGCCGGAUCCUUAACCCACUGAGCAAGGCCAGGGAUCAAACCUGCAACCUCAGGUUUCUAGUCAGAUUCGUUUCUGCUGUGCCACAAUGGGAACUCGCACUCUCACCUUUCCUAUCAAGUUCCACAGACUGUAGUUACAGCAAGGAUUCCUGUCUGUGUGGAUUAACUUGCAUGUCAGAAUCUACAUCUACUGCAUCUGAUUUCCUCUAGAAGGGAGCCAGGGGAAGUGGAGUUUUCUGAAGGGAGAGAAUGCAGAUGUGAAGUGAGCAGCAGAGUAUAGCGGACUCAGUCUGAAGGGGCUGGAUCAAACAGCACCUCCAUCCAAGGAGCCACUGUAGCUCCAGAACCUCCCGUCUCCUAAAGGUCAAGCCAUGUGUGUGUGUGUGUGUGUGUGUGUGUGUGUGUGUGUGUGUGUGUGUGAGAGAGAGAGAGAGAGAGAGACACUUUGGACUCACCUAAGAAAGCAUUCUGAUUGAAAACAGAAAACCAAGAGCUUCAAAAUACAAUCUGUUUGCAUAAGAAACUUCAAGAGGAAGAUGUGCCGAAGGGAGAGAAGGCUUUCCGCAGAUUUCAGAAAACCUUCUAACAAGAAAGUGUCCGUUUUUGACUCUCCAAGGAGCAACCAGAGUAACAGUGUCUCCAGCUGUUCCUGCCUCUGUCUCGGGGGCUGCUGGGAAUGGAAUGAAGCUCCCUCCACCAAAUCCAGCCCGGGUUUUCAUUUUUUCCCCCUGCCCAUCUUCACCCAAGGCUAACCUGGCAGAGCCAAGGCUCACUUCCCUCCUACUCACUGUGGGAAAAAAAAAAACCACUCAGGCACUUUGAAAAGGUCAAAGGGGAAAGGGCAGCCGUGGGACUGAGAAGCGGGAAAGAGAAGGGAGCUUGGCAAGAAAACUAGGUCCUUAAUAAUGUGGAUGGGGUUUUGCUCUACCCUUCCAAAAUGCCCACGUCUGGAGACAGCCUGCUCUGCUGUAAAUCUGCUACUUCAAACACCGAGAAACAGGAUUGCUCUUAAUCCCUUAAACCUAAUUAUCAAAGAGACGUUUACUCACCAGCAGCCGCUCCCUUCUGCUUUCUGGUGACCGCUCAUCAUCUGUGUUCCACCACGAAGCUCAUGGUGGUGCCGUCAAAGGAGGGGGGGGCAAUGAUCCUCGGCCCCAGGGGCUGCGAAGUGAUGCUGAUGACAGGCUUACCGUGCAGCUGAGCGAAGCCCUUGGCCCCCACCAGCUGGGAUGUGGCUGCUGGAGCAGAGGAGGAAGAGGAGGCGGGAGACUGACCAGAGGCCAUGAAGUAGGGGGCCUCAGGAAACGGGGCAGCUGCCUCUUUGCUGGGGGGCUCUGCUGCCAUGGGCGAGAGCUCACCGCCCCCCGGAGUGUGAGCAAUUGGUGUGGGCUGCAGGGCGUUGGCGGGCAGCACCGUGGGGAGAAACCCGGGGUAGAUCAUGUAGGUGGGUCCGUAGGCCCCCGGACUCAGGGCCAGGGGAGGCACAGGGAGGGACAUGGGAGCCAAAGCCUGCUGCUGGGAGGUCAUGGGCACAUCCACAUACUGCCCUGUCUCGGGGUCAAACAGUCUCCGGGUAAUGGGCUGCACUGGUGUGUCCACCAGAUAGUACUGGCCAGUCGUCACGUCCAGGAGCAUCUUGCGCUGGGUCUGCUGAGGCUGUGGCUGCUGGAAGGGGUCCGUGGGAACCGCAGCUGGGCCUGCCGGGGCUGGGGCAGGCAUGCCUGGCGGGGAGAAGCAGAGGACCUGGGGCUGGGCCCCCUGCAGGGUGAAGGGCAGUGGCUGCUGGUGGUAGAUGGCUGUGGGGGGGUGCUCGGGGCUCUGUGGCCCCGUGGGGGCAGCUACCGUCUCCCGGGGAUUAUCAGGUUUGGUGCGCCAAGCCGGCCGGCUGGUUCCACUGACCUGAGAGCCUUUGGGGCUACUGGGGACCUGGCUGCGGGCACUCAGGGGGGGCAAGCUGCAGAGAGUGGCCGCCGAGGAGGCUGGGGGCCCCUCCCUGCCAGCCCCAGGCCUGCCCGCGAGCUCCCCAGCUGCAGAGCUUCCCUUAAGAGGGAUGGUCAGGUAGUUCUCACUGUCACUGUUCCUCUUUUCCAAAGUGCUGCCGUUUUUCCUGUGGGUCACCUCUUCGAGAGGUGCCCUGGUGGCCGGAGAGAUCUUGAGGGACCGCAGUCCCUGCGAUUUGAUGCCCUUUGCCGCUGAGGGACUUUCUGGAGAAGGGCCUUGCGGGAACUUGCCAGCGACACCCCCGGUCUUCUGGGUGCUGCUGGCGCUCACUGUGAACACGUUCCGGGUGCUGGGGAGCGGGGGCAGGGGCUGCAGGGGCUGCAGGGGCUGGGCUCUGUCCGCAUCCUUGUGCACGGGCGGGAUGUAGAGGGACCGGGGCCUCUCCCUGGCCAGGUUCUCAAAGGCGGCCGCGCGGGCGGACACGCUCUCGGUGCUCGGGUUGGAGUUUCUCCGCUGCAGACGCUCCGCGGGGCCGCCUCGCAGGACCACCCCGCCUUUGUUUCCCGCGCCCCGCUCUUCCGCCUCGCCCAGCCGUUUGGCCACCUUGUCGGGGUCCCGCUCAGCCCCCGCGGCCCCUUCCCUCUCCUCACUGGCGAUGAGCGACAGGACGUGGCUGUCGGUCAUCAGGGGCAAGGGAUCGCUUUUCCGCUUCCACUCGUUCCUGUUGAAGCUGUACAGCUCCUCCAUGGACCUCACCGCGGCGGUCAGCUUCUCCAGGGCAUUGCGGGAUGGCCGGGGGCCUUUCCCUUCCUCCUUGGCCUCCUCCUCUUUGACCUUCUCUGGGGUCUUCUGAGCCUUGGAGACGAUCUUGAGCACAGGGAGGUAGGAGCCCUGCUCAGGCUUAUUGGGGGCAAUGGUGGCCACAGGCAGCCUGCCAGAGGCCCUAUGAACCAAGACUGUGCCUUCUGGCGAGGAGGAAUUCAAGACCCGGCAGCCGCCCACCUUGCCCACGUUCUCCCGGGGUUCUCGGUCCAUGCUGUCUUCCCUCUGGUUCACCACUGCCUGGCACGUAAUCACCAUGGGGGACAGGGAUCCAGAUCCUCCAGCUGCAGGAGCCAGCUGCCGAGGUUUGGGCCCGGUCAGCCCCUGCUCUGGGGUAACGCUGCCCUUAUCGCUGCUGUCCCCUGACCCUUUGAUGAGUUUCCGGACAUCUCUCACCUGGUGGAGGGGGCCUUGUGCCUUGGACUUGUCCCUGACAUCUCUCACUUGGAACUGGGGCACUUUUUCCAGGUUGUCCCCCCGGAAGAGCUUCUGCUGUGCCCUGGUGUUGUCCUCAAUGGUCUUGAAGAGGUUAGAGGCGCUGCCACUGGCCAGUUUGGGCGUGAGCAACUUGGCAAUGUUGAAGUCCGAGCUUGGCUGUUGCACACUCCCCAGCCGGAUCUUGAUUUCGGGAGCCUUGGGCCUGAUCACCGCCGUGGAGGUGGCCUGGGCAGCAGGGUAUUUGGUGGCCUGCUUCCCCGGCUGCUUGUCCUUGGGUGUCUGCUGGAUGUUAGGGACAAAGAGGCGGGACAUGAUGGUGGAUUUGCUGGCAGAGAUCUCCCCGAGAUCGGCCCUCCAGUCGCCCCCUUUGGGAAGUUUCAGCUUCCCAACGGGGGCUUUUUCUUCUCGCUUCUCAGCCUCUUUCUCCUUCCAUGACCGGAAUGCACUGUUCUGACUACGAAGGAAGAUGCCCUUGACAGUCUCUGAUGCACUCUUUUUAAUCUCACAUACUUCUUCUGGCUGUCCGUCGGCGAAAUUACGGCUGGAGCCGGCAUGGCUCUCUCGGGGGGCACUGGCUUUGAAAAUUGGGGAUUUAGACCCGACCAUGGACCCCUCCCCACCUGCAUCAGACACGCUGACCACCGUGUACUCAGAGCCAGCCUCCGAGUGGCGAGAACUCUGCCUCUGCAGGCCCCUGUCUCGCGGCUUCUCGCCCCCAAGAGGUGGGCCCUCUGCCUCCUUGGCCGUGCUGGACAGGUUGUGGUGGGAUGUGUCGGUGACCUCCCCCCUCUCCAUUUUGAACUCGUGUUCUCGCUGCAUCUUCUUGGAGAUGACAUUUUUGAGCAGACUGGAAGCAAACUUGGACUUCUUCUGGGGGCCAUCAGCGCGAGAGGCAGGCUUGCUGCUCUCUGAGGCCUCGGAGCCAUCAUCCGUGUACACCGACCCGGGGCCCUUGCUGGGGCCUUUGGUGGCCUUGCAGGGCCCGGUGGCUGAGCUGGCUUUGCUUUCACUGCGUAAGUUCAGAGGCUCGAGAAGGGUGACCACGCGGGAGCCCGACUGGACCUGCUUCUGGAAACACAGAGGUGUCUCCACGUGUUUGAUUUCCCCCUCGACUUUGCUGACUACGAACUCCAAGGCCUUGGUCUGCGACUUCUUGGACUGGAUGUAGAGCUGGUCUGCGGCGGUCCUGGCCCCACUGCCCUUCCUCAGCCCUGCAGCCACAGAGGCCGCGCUGCUCCUGAGGAGGCUCUGUUCCACCCUGGCUCCAACGCCUCCACAUUUUAAGUCCAGGAAGGUCGACCAGCGCCCAAAGCCGACCUCGGAGAGUGAGGAGGACUCCCGGGAGCUGAUGUUCAGAGCCUCGAAGUAGGGGUAAGCGAGGCUCCGGAAGGCCCGGGAGGUCAGGUUACGCACCUCUUUGUCGGCAUCAUCCAGCUCGCUCACGGCACUGGAGGCUCCGCUGGAGUAGUCCACCAGCUCCUUCGCCCGGAUGGCCCCACACCGGGUUUGCAGGCGAGCAGGGACAGCGAUGAAUUUCUUUGCAUGGUCCUGAGCCACGGCUGCAGCCGGGUCUUGCUUCAGUGAACUUGAAUUGUGUUCAGCAGCUGUAGAGACGCGGAGGCUCAUGUCGCCUUCAUGCUUGGCAGCAUAAAUAAUGUUUUGCUUUGCACACACGUUGCUAGGCUCAUUUAUAGCCCGGGAAGUCGGUUUGAUUGAUAGGAGGAUCUGGCUUGCUGCACUCCCACAGCUGCUUGCGGCGGCUGCUGCCCCUGAAGCUGCCUCCGGGGGCUCCGGCAAGGGCUCACUCGGGGUGGCAGUGCCAGGCCCCGUGGGUGGGGGAGUGGGGUCACUGUCCGAGGGGCCGCUGCCCACUUCCGUGCUGCUGGUGUCGCCACCGCUGCUGCCCGCGCCGGGGCGGGCGGGGUCACUGCUGGUGGGGCUGGGUGUCCUGGUGGCGUUGGUGCUGGGAGUGGUGCUGAGGUAGCAGCUGUUGUCAUCGUCCUCUUCGGUCGGAGUGGUGACAUCCCCCGGGGUCUCGUCGCUGCCGCCAAAGGAAGCAUAGUCCACGAAUGAGUAGAUCACGUUGUUGUCCUCGAAAUCCCAGCGGGAGGCCAGGCCCACGUCGAAAUCCAUGUCCUGCUCUACCUCGCUCAGCUGGAUCUCGUGGGUG